rnacentral:lncRNA from 1 species
GGUGAAAUGUGCUGAGGCUUCUGCUGAGGUUUCUACCUCAGCUCCACGGCCUGGCCAGUUCAAUGGAUUGAAGAAAAUGUUCACGGAAGGAAGAUGAUUAAUUGAUCCAGAGGGCCUGUAGCAACUCUGUUUAACAUGCUAGAUGAGCCAGUCUUAUUCAGUGAUGACUAAGGAUCUAGAGAAAACUGGUGUCAGGUUGGUCUUCUUCUUCCCACCUAUUUUCAGUUGGCCUGCAGUUCCUAGGAUGUGUAUCCUGUAUGCUGGUCACCGGAAGAUAGGCAAAUUUUUGCUUUGUUGCUGGUUCUGGGACAACAGCCAUGAAUACAAAAGAUUAAAUGGAAGGCUCUGGAGCCCUGAGGAAUAGCAGUUACUAGACUGAAGGAACCUGAGUUUCUAGAUUGCGAUGUUGAGCAGAGUCCCUGCUAACCCAGGAAAACUCUGAUGUGAGAAAGAAGAAAACCCGGAUUGCACUAACUCACCGAGAUUUCGAAGUUUAGUUGUUCGGCGAUGAACUUGUCCUGAACAACAUAGAGGAACAGUGGGAAAUACAUGGAGUGUGCUUAUAAGAAGCUAUGGUAGGCAGGAUUUCAAGAUGUCCUUGUGAUCUCUGCCUCCUUGUGUUUCUCCCAUGACUAUGUCAUGUUCCACAGCAAAAGGGAUUUUGCAAUGUAUUAAGGGUACUGAACGGUUGACCUUAAGAUCGUGGGAUUAUCUGGGUGGGCCUAAUUUCAUCACAUGAGUCCUGUAAAAGAAGUGAAUUUUCUCUAUUUGGUAGCAGAAGAGGCAGUCAGAGACAUCUGAAGUGUGAGAGGGAUUCAGUGCUGAAAUGGAGAAGGUCACAUGGUAAGAACCUGAGAGUGGCUUCUGGUAGCUGAGAGUGAUCCUUGGCAAGAUAAUGGAACCUUAGUCCUAGAGCCUCAAGGAAAUUAAUUCUGCUGACAAUCUGAGGGAACUUUGAAGCAGAUCUUUUCCUAGUUGAGCCUCCAAGUAAGGAUUUAGCUAGCUAGCUGGUACUUUAAUUUGAGCCUUAUGAGUCUCUGAGCAGAGGACCCAGGGAAAUAAAGUCAGGCUCCUAAUGCAUGGUGAUGAUGACGUGAUAAGUGUGUUUUGUUAAGCUACUAAGUUUGUGGUAAUUUUUAAUGUAGCAAUAAAAAACUAAUGCAGAGAGUGAAAAGUGCUGUGUCUAAGAUAUGUGGCAAAAUCAGGGUUAGUCCAUGCUGGUGUCACCAUCCAAGGAAUUGGAUCUGGUGAGCAGAAUGUGGCAGCAGGAGGCAGUGUGAUGGUGACAGUCACAAGGAGAUGGGUUCUGGGGCUGCAGUUUGAGGGUUGAAGCAGCUGCUGUGGAUUUAAGGAUCUGAGAACUCAGGCACAGAAGAGGAGGUCUGGCAAAAUCUGGGCAGAUUUUGCCCAAGAAAUGGCCUGGGGUCAGAGAUUGAGUCUAAAUCUCAGUGUCAAGAACUGAAGUUCACUUAAUUCUUUUUUUUAAAGAAACUUCUCGUUUAAUAAACUAGGCUGCUGAUUUUGAGAUAUUUACUUAUGAUUUUUUCAUGGUUCUUCAGAAUUAUCUCAGAGGGGUCUGAGAGGCUGAGCAGACAUAGCCUUAGUGACCCAUUUCUGUUUUAGCCAGGGCAGCCCUGCAUGUAGGUAUUUAUAUUUAGGGUUCCAUAUGACACUGCUCUUGGAAAAAGACCUUCAUUACUAAGACUGUUAGAAAAUGCCUAAUUUAGGGAAAAGCCAAGUAUCUUUGGGAAAAUGUGGGGGCUUCUCCUACAUAAGGAAGCAAGGCUAACUCUAGACCCCACAAGAGAGGGCUUGGUUCUCAUUGGUUCAGGUUCUGGCUGGAAUGAGACUGAAGGAUAAAAUACCCUAGGCAAGGCUGGGCAAUCAAGGACUGGACAAGAUCUUGCUUGGCUUUAAAGGAUCCCCUACACAAUCCUCAGAGAUGGAAGCACAAUAGAUAAGGAUAUGUAAAAAUAUUAUGUACAAUACACAUUAUACAUAUAUAUAUACACAUAUAUGUAUAUGUAUAAAACAUGGAUUUCCUGACCUGCUCAUCUAAUCUGGCUCAUUUUGUGUCAAUUCCAGUGUCUUCAUUUCUAAUAAAUAUUUAUUAAAUACCUGUGUGUGCCAGGCCUUGAACUUAGACCUGGGGAUCCAGAAGUAAGAACAAGAAGGGAGAGAGAGGGAAACAAGACAAUACAUGAUCACAUCAGGUUCAGACAAGAAAACAAGUUUGACUUUCUGAUUGUGGCAAUUCCAUGGGAAAGGAGCAAUGCGAUCUCCAGUUUGACACAGGGCUGCUAUGCAGGAACAGCACCCUGGAGUGACCAAAAAUAAAGGCAGCAAGCACCUGGAAGCCCAGGCCUCUGUCUUUUAACUCAGUUAAUGAGAUCUUUGGCAUAACCAUGUAUACACAUGAAAUUUUCUCCUCCUCAGUCUCUAAUUGUACCAAUUUAGUUGCCAU